GACGAACCGUGCGAACGUUAUUCGGAAUCACUGGGCUUAAAGCGCGUGUAGGCGGGACGGUGCGUCGGCCGCUGAAAUCCCCCGGCUCAACCGGGGAAGGGGCGCCGAUACGACCGCCCUGGAGCGACGUAGGGGGAACUGGAACUUCCGAUGGAGCGGUGAAAUGCGUUGAGAUCGGAAGGAACGCCCGUGGCGAAAGCGAGUUCCUGGACGUCGGCUGACGCUGAGACGCGAAAGCCAGGGGAGCGAACGGG
rnacentral:rRNA from 1 species